rnacentral:lncRNA from 1 species
UGGUGGAGAAAGCAUUGGCCUAUGAUGCCCCCCAAACCCCCUGUUCUGAUGUGCCUUUCGCACCCCUCCCAUUAGGACAAUCAGUCCCCUCCCACUUGGGCCUCCUCUUUUCUUUUUCCUAGCCCUUCUCGGUACCCAACCUACCUGUCCAGGGGUGCCCCUUGCUCUCCUGCCCACCCCUAGCGGCCAUCCAGGCUGGUUUUGUAAGAUGCUGGGUUGGUGCACAGUCAUUUUUUUUUCCUUGUAAUUUAAACAGGCCUGGCAUUGUUGGUUCUAUUUAAUGGACACGAGAUAAUGUUAGAGGUUUUAAAGUGAUUAAACGUGCAGACUAUGC